UACGGAGGGUGCAAGCGUUAUCCGGAUUCACUGGGUUAAAGGGAGCGUAGGUGGCUUUGUAAGUCAGUGGUGAAAUAUUGCGGCUUAACCGCAAAACUGCCAUUGAGUACUGCUUAAGCUUGAAUCACGUCGAGGUGGAUGGAAUAAUACAUGUAGCGGUGGAAAUGCUUAGAUAUGUAUUAGAACACCGAUUGCGAAGGCAGUUC
rnacentral:rRNA from 1 species